AGAGUUUGAUCCUGGCUCAGGACGAACGCUGGCGGUGUGCUUAAGACAUGCAAGUCGAGCGGUCCCGCAAGGGACAGCGGCGGACGGGUGAGUAACACGUGGAUAACCUGCCCGACUCCCCGGGAUAACAGGCCGAAAGGCCUGCUAAUACCGGGUAAGCUCACAUCACCGCAUGGUGGUGGGAGAAAAGGUCCCGCAAGGGACUGGGGUUGGAGGGGUCCGCGGUCCAUUAGCUAGUUGGGGGGGUAACGGCCCACCAAGGCGACGAUGGAUAGCCGGCCUGAGAGGGCGACCGGCCACACUGGGACUGAGACACGGCCCAGACUCCUACGGGAGGCAGCAGUCGGGAAUUUUGGGCAAUGGCCGAAAGGGCUGACCCAGCAACACCGCGUGAGUGAAGAAGGCCUUCGGGUUGUAAAGCUCUGUUGCCCGUGAAGAACGGUGCUUUCAGGAAAUGGGAAGCACUUGACGGUAGCGGGAGAGGAAGCUCCGGCUAACUACGUGCCAGCAGCCGCGGUAAUACGUAGGGAGCGAGCGUUGUCCGGAUUUAUUGGGCGUAAAGGGCGUGUAGGCGGCUUUUUAAGUCUGAAGUGAAAACUCGGGGCUCAACCCCGAGCCGGCUUCGGAUACUGGAGAGCUUGAGUGCUCUAGAGGGCAGUGGAAUUCCCGGUGUAGCAGUGAAAUGCGUAGAGAUCGGGAGGAACACCAGUGGCGAAGGCGACUGCCUGGGGAGUAACUGACGCUGAGGCGCGAAAGCUGGGGGAGCAAACGGGAUUAGAUACCCCGGUAGUCCCAGCCGUAAACGAUGAGUGCUAGGUGUAGCGGGUAUCGACCCCCGCUGUGCCGGAGUUAACGCAAUAAGCACUCCGCCUGGGGAGUACGGCCGCAAGGUUGAAACUCAAAGGAAUUGACGG
rnacentral:rRNA from 1 species